GACGAACGCUGGCGGCGUGCUUAACACAUGCAAGUCGAACGGUAAGGCCCCUUCGGGGUACGACGAGUGGCGAACGGGUGAGUAACACGUGAGCAACCUGCCCUUCGACUUCGGAAUACCAGCUGGAAACAGCUGCUAAUACCGGAUAUGACUCUUGCCCUCAUGGGUGGGGAGUGGAAAGCUCCGGCGGUCAGGGAUGGGCUCGCGGCCUAUCAGCUUGUUGGUGAGGUAAUGGCUCACCAAGGCUUCGACGGGUAGCCGGCCUGAGAGGGCGACCGGCCACACUGGGACUGAGAUACGGCCCAGACUCCUACGGGAGGCAGCAGUGGGGAAUAUUGCACAAUGGGCGCAAGCCUGAUGCAGCAACGCCG
rnacentral:rRNA from 1 species